CUACGGGCGGCAGCAGUGAGGAAUUUUGCGCAAUGGGGGAAACCCUGACGCAGCAACGCCGCGUGAGUGAUGAAGGCCUUCGGGUCGUAAAGCUCUGUCAAGUGGGAAGAACCCACCCUGUGCUAAUAUCACAGGGUGCUGACGGUACCACUGAAGGAAGCACCGGCUAACUCCGUGCCAGCAGCCGCGGUAAUACGGAGGGUGCAAGCGUUAUUCGGAAUUACUGGGCGUAAAGGGCGCGUAGGCGGCUUUUUAAGUCAGAUGUGAAAUCCCGGGGCUCAACCCCGGAAGUGCAUCUGAAACUAAGAAGCUUGAGUAUGGGAGAGGGAAGUGGAAUUCCUGGUGUAGAGGUGAAAUUCGUAGAUAUCAGGAGGAACACCGGUGGCGAAGGCGACUUCCUGGACCAAUACUGACGCUGAGGCGCGAAGGCGUGGGGAGCAAACAGGAUUAGAUACCCUUGUAGUC
rnacentral:rRNA from 1 species